rnacentral:lncRNA from 1 species
CAUCUGCCACCCCCUUCCCUUUUGCCUUCAAUCUUUCCUAGCAUGAAGGUCUGUUCCAUUGAGUUGGCUCUUCACAUCAGGUGGCCAAAGUAUUGGAGCUUCUGCAUCAGCAUUGGUCCUUCCAAUGAAUAUUCAGGAUUGAUUUCCUUUAGGAUCGACUGGUUUGAUCUCCUGGAAAUUCUUGUUGUACCCAUCAGGGGUUUUGGACCCCUACGUGCAGCUGACCCCUGGGCCUUUCCAUCCAAAGCAUCCACACUCUCAUCAGAUGCGGCAUGCUUGACUGUCGAUACCAUCUUCCCAGCUGCAUUGACUCUACUCCUACUGAGAGAAGAAACAAACGCACCUAACCAGUAUUGAGCAUCACAGCACACGUGGCCCAGUUCCAAGUUCUUUAUGUUUCAUCUUCGGAUCCGUUGUCGUCUCUAUUUUACAGCUGAGAUGUUGCCUCUUUUAGGAAGAAGGCAGAGUGACAAUGACAGCAAAGCCAUUGACUAACUAAUCAAGCUGCUUCUACAUUCUUACUCCUGACUCAUGCCUCAGCCCAGAGCUGUGUGACUCCCUCCACACCAUCACUCGAUGGAAAGUGCUUUGGCAAAGGUCACCAGUAACCACCGUACUGCCAGAUCCAGUGGAGGCUUCUGGUCCUUCUUUAUUUACCAUGGAUAUAUUUAAAAAUUCGUUUAUUUUUUGCUGGGUCUUUGUUGCUGUGCAUGGGCUUUCUCUAGUUGAGAUGAGCAGGGGCUGCUGUUUACUGCAGACUGCGAACUUCACGUUGCAGUGGCUUCUUUGUUGCAGAGCUUGGGCUGUAGAGCGCGUGGACUCAGAGUUGUGGUGCGUGGGCUGAGUAGCUCUGCAGUAUGUGGAAUCUUUCUGGACCAGGGAUCAAACCUGUGUCCCUGGAAUUGGAAGGCAAAUUCUUAACCACUGGACCACCAGGGAAGUCCUUGCCAUUGAUGUUGACCCCACUGACCACCCACUGUUCCUUCCUGAGCUCUCCUCCUGGUACCUGGGAUACCGCUCUGUCCCCAUUUCCUCCCUGGUUUCCUUUUCUCCUCUUUUCUUUGCAGGAUCCUUUCCCUCUGCCAGUCCUCAAAGCUGGGCACUCCCCGUGGCUCUGUCCUGGAGCUGCUGCUCCUUCCACUGGAUGUGACCUACCUAGGUAACUCCCUGAUCAUCCAGUCAUUGUGGUCACCACCCUUCCUUGCUCACGGGUCCCAAACCUCUCUCUCUGUAGUCCUGGGUCCCACCCUGGUGUCAUACUCACGUCUCCA